rnacentral:misc_RNA from 1 species
AGUCGUAACAAGGUUUCCGUAGGUGAACCUGCGGAAGGAUCAUUACCGAGUGAGGGCCCUCUGGGUCCAACCUCCCACCCGUGUCUAUCGUACCUUGUUGCUUCGGCGGGCCCGCCGUUUCGACGGCCGCCGGGGAGGCCUCGCGCCCCCGGGCCCGCGCCCGCCGAAGACCCCAACAUGAACGCUGUUCUGAAAGUAUGCAGUCUGAGUUGAUUAUCAUAAUCAGUUAAAACUUUCAACAACGGAUCUCUUGGUUCCGGCAUCGAUGAAGAACGCAGCGAAAUGCGAUAAGUAAUGUGAAUUGCAGAAUUCAGUGAAUCAUCGAGUCUUUGAACGCACAUUGCGCCCCCUGGUAUUCCGGGGGGCAUGCCUGUCCGAGCGUCAUUGCUGCCCUCAAGCACGGCUUGUGUGUUGGGCCCCGUCCCCUCCCCCGGGGACGGGCCCGAAAGGCAGCGGCGGCACCGCGUCCGAUCCUCGAGCGUAUGGGGCUUUGUCACCCGCUCUGUAGGCCCGGCCGGCGCCAGCCGACACCCAACUUUUAUUUCUAAGGUUGACCUCGGAUCAGGUAGGGAUACCCGCUGAACUUAAGCAUAUCAAUAAGCGGAGGA